ACAUGGCGCUCUAUGACUGGGAGGGGGAGUUCAUCUCACUCCUUCGCAACGACUCAGGCCGACCGGAAGGACUCGAGGUCUUCCUGCAAGCGCAAAGGAGCUUCGGCGAGAUCAGCGGAGAGACAAUACUGGGUGAUGUUGCCUUCCUCGUGAUCGGUAACAUCGUGUUGUUCGUCUACGUGCAGCUGAUGCUUGGCAAGUUUAAUAUGGUCGAGACUCGGCCCGUCCUGUCCUUACUAGGACUCCUAGCUACCUUCAUGGCCGUCGGUGUGUCCUUCGGGCUGUGCUCCGCCUUCGGUAUAGCCUACGGACCUGUACACUCCAUCCUGCCCCUGCUCAUGCUGGGUCUAGGAGUGGACGAUAUGUUUGUUAUUGUCCAAUGCUGGCAGAAUCUCAGUCAAGAGGAACGAAGGUUAGAACUCAAGAAGAGAAUGGGAUGUGCUCUUCGUCACGCAGGAGUCGCCAUUACUGUCACUUCACUCACCGACUUUGCCGCUUUCACCAUCGGCGCCUCGACCGUCCUGCCCGCCCUACGGUCCUUCUGCAUCUACUCUGCCCUGGGCGUGGUGGCGCUUUAUAUGCUCCAAGCCACUUUCUUCGUCGCCUGGUUCGCUCUUGACCAAAGCCGGCUCGAAGACAACCGCAACGGGCUCUUCUGGUGCUACAAACACAAGAACUGGACUCCAAACAAGUGCUCCGAGUACGACCUGUGCCAGAUGUUCUUCGAUAAGAUAUACUCCAAGUACCUGCUGAAGAAACCUGUUAAGGCUCUCGCAUUAUUAGUGACGGCGGUGGUGUUCGGCACAAGCAUCUGGGGCGUCACGAAUCUCAGACAGGAGUUUAACCCUGUGUGGUUUAUUCCUCAGUCAUCCUACCUCUUCCAGUUCCUCUCGCGCGCCCAGACUUUCUACCCAGAAGCAGGCGAACGAGGCACCGUCUAUUUGGGAGCCUUGAAUUAUUCCGAAGAGCUGCCGAAGAUUGGCUACCUGACUCAGUCCAUGAGGGAAAAUGAGUACAUUUCUUUCGUGGAUUCUUGGUACGAUCUCAUGAUUGAUUAUACUAACAGCAGCACUGGUGAAGAUAUCACAGGGCAGUCGCUGAAUGAGAGUUUCUUCAGAAUGGCUCUGUCAGAAUUCCUGUACUCUCCGUCGGGAUCUCGUUUCCAAAACUAUUUCCAUUUCGAAGGCAAUUUAACUGCUAUGGAGCCUGUGCCUCCUAUAGUUGCCAGCAAAUUCGACUAUAGCCAUAGAUCCCUGGACGGGCCAGGGGAGCAGAUUCCAGCGAUGGACCAGACGAAGGAAUUGGUCCAGAAUGCAAAUUUCUCAGACUUUGCAGCCCCGAUCGCCAUGAUGUACAGCAGUUGGGAAACGGACAAGAUUAUCGCGUUUGAACUUGUCCGAAACCUUAGUUUAGCGCUGGUGGCGGUGUUCGUCAUGACCCUAAUCCUUAUCGCCAACAUAAUGUCUUCAAUCUAUGUACUUUUAUGCGUCUUGCUGACUCUUGUCGAUGUUAUGGCCCUGAUGACCUGGUGGGACCUGACUAUAGACACUGUAUCUUGCAUCAACCUAGUUCUUUGCAUUGGUCUCUGUGUUGACUACUCGGUGCACAUAGCACUACACUUUAUGCAGGUGAAAGGGACGAGAGAUGAGCGUGUUCAGCGGACGGUGAAAGAGAUGGGUCCAGCUGUCAUCAACGGGGCCUUUUCUACGUUCUUGGCGUUCAUCCUCCUCGCCAAUUCAGAUUCCCAUGUGUUUGAAUCUUUUUUCAAGAUCUUCUUCGGCGUGUUCAUCUACGGGGUGUUCCACGGACUGGUCUUCCUCCCCGUCCUCCUCAGCCUCAUCGGACCAGCCCCAUAUGACCUCGACCUCCAUGCCCUUCCAGAAGUCAUCGAAGUCGAGAAGCGUUCGAAAGACGUUGUUGUUAUCGAAGGAAGGACUUAUUCCCAGGUGCACAACGUUAGGUCGAAUUCGUCUUAUGAGUGAUUUUCGUUUAUCGCUUUUUUUUUCUUCUUUUUCUUUUUGAAUAAUUCUCUCUCAGUGGCAUGCGAUUGUACUUGUUUCUGUAGAUAGUUAUUUGCAGUCGAUAGGCAGCUGGUAGAUAAAAGGAGCAAGAUUUACCAAGUGUAAUCAUUCAUAUUUUCUUUAUGAAUCAUGUAUGUAUGCUAUUACUACUAUUACUGCUGCUGUUGCCAUUACUCUUACCAUGAUUAUUACUCUUACUAUAACUAUUACUACUACUAUUGCUAUUGCUGUAACAGCUACUACUACUACCAACACCAAUAAUGCUACUGCUAUUACUACAGCUACUACUAUUAGCCUAGUACCGUUCCAUCUACUGUUUCGGAUGAAGCUGAAGUGAGGUAUCUUGGUAAACCUUGCUUGCUCAAAUUCUCAAUUCCUUCUUUGGGAGUUUUUGACGGGUAUAGUAUUACAUUUUGGUAUGACUUCCUUGUAACUUUCUCAUCAAAUACUCGUGAUGAGUGACUUAUUGACAAUAAUUUUCCUGAUGUCUGUCAGUAGAUGAUUACUCCCUUAUGUUUUAUCCUAUUCUUAAUUGCAUGAUCUAUGUGGAUGUAUGAUUGUCAUCACCAUGAACUUGAUUUGUGUAAUGAACAAAGCUAUACAGUAUAUUCCUUUACCAUAAGAACAAGUCUGUAUACCUGAACCCUAUAUUUUUAUUCACGGCUUUUGAACAACUAUCAUUUAUAGUAUGUGAAACUGUUUUGUAGUACUCAUUAAAAUAUCUUCAUUAACACUCACUGUUGGUGCUAUUAUUACUAUCAAAAAUACUCAUUGAUUGUGGUCAUUUGUUCACAAUCAACUGCGAACUUAAACGAACAUUAUUUAAUGACCCUCAAUUUAUGAUAGUAGGGAACAUGACGUUUUGAUACUUGUGUCAUGGAUUUGCAGUGAUAUCUUGUUUUUUUAUAAUACUUUUUUUUUAUUCAUAAUACAUGUUACUUUCUUUCUUCUUUGAAAGAAACUUUACUUUAUAUUCUUCUUUGAGCUGUCCUACAUGAAAUGCGUGUCUGAUUAAUUCAACUUCUUACCUUUUAUUAUAAAAGGCUAGUGCAAUAUGUUCCAUGUUUCUUUAGAGUAUGUGAUCUUAUAAUACUGAUUUUGUAUUCAUUAUAUACCCCAUGGUUAUGGUGUUCCUGUAUAUUUUUGUAGUUUCUAUGGAAAUGGCUGAACAAAUAAAUGUGAUAUAUUUAUUUUUGCCUUUGUUAAUUUUCUCUUGACAAUUUUCUAAUUAUUUUGCAUGUAUAAAUCAAAUAUAUUUUAUGAUUUUCGUUAAUUUUUUUUUUUUACUGAUUCUUACAAUAUUUCUCUAGUUUGUGCAUGAAAUACUAAGGUUUCCCUCCUACCAAUUUUUUGUUAAUACUAUAAAAUUAAUAGAGAAAAAUAAACAUUUAUUCCACAGAAAACUGCAAGUUCUUGAAUGCAGUAAAAGUACUCCUGAAGUGUCUGCUGUGGAGAAACCCAGGGACAAGUAUCUGUAUUGCAGAUAAUCAUCUCUAUCUAUAUAGAAGAUAUGGUUUUAUGUUCAGAUGAAAGAAAGGACCAUAGAGCAACUAAUGUUUGAUGUUGCUUGCCAUGUUAUUUAUGUUCUUCAAUGGGUUGUGUAUAUUCCCAUUCAGAGUUUUUAUCAUAAUUUAAGUAAAUUUAUUCAUAUGCUCGGAACUUGAUUCAUACUCAUGUCAUUUUUAUUGACAAGAAAAGUCUUCACACAUUAAUGCCAGUAGUGUAUGUUUGCAUUCAAUGUCCAAUAUGGUUCUGUUUUCUUUGUUUUAUUUACACACAUGGUUCCAAAAGUGUUGAGUCACCUAGGAGUCAAUUAGUAGGUUUUACUGGCCUCACUCAUUUACCCAUUCAUUGAAUUUCGGGGGAAAUGUACCCAGCAUCAGUGUGGUAAUAGAUAACAUGGUUUCCCAAGUGAGUGUUCUAUAUUUAUCACUAGGUAAUAAGUUUAUCAAAUAUCCAAAUAUUUCAGUCAGCCUCCACAUCUUUACAGUGAUUUCUAAUUUAUAAUGAACUACUAUAUGAGUGUUAUGAUAAGAGUCAUUUUUGCAGUUUAUUAAUAUUUUAUAUUGUACAAUCAAAAUAAAAUAGAAUAAAUUAAUACUUAAUA
rnacentral:misc_RNA from 1 species